ensembl:lncRNA
CUCCCGCAGAAAGGCCACUUGGUGUAGCCAUGGUAACAAUUAGCUUUCUCUUGCUUUUCCCUCGGGUGAUGGGUGCGAGGCAGACCCGUGGCUGCUCUCCUGCAGUGGGAGCUGCCCCCAGCCCCACACUGGAGCAUCCUAGCUGUGUCCCUCGCUUGGACGCAUGGCCAUCCAUCUGUCUCGGGUGCCAUGGGCAUGUCCUACACAAGUUCUAAACAUCUCCGCGGGGUUCCACCAACCGCUGCAGGAGCUGAAUGUUAGGAGAUGGGGAAAAACACCCCCUGAGCAUGGGAGAAGGAAGGAAGGAGGAGGAUGGAAGGGGACACAAAGGGAAGGAGCAUUGCAAGGGAAGGCUGGGAGCUGGCCGGGAUUUUGGCCAUCCAUUUGGCCCAGGGUAGGGUGCGUGCUCCACUAGGGUGUCUCCCAGCAGCGGUUGGGUAAACACGGUACAGAGCUGCUCCCUGUGUAUAGCAGAGUCACAGCUGCUGACUGCAGCGACUAAAAUAAGCGUUUCCCUGCUUUUUAUUCCUCUGAGCCCGGCAGAGCCCACUCAGCCCCAGGAGCGGAGCUGGAGUCUAUUCUUAGCCCUGCAGAGCCUCGCAGAGCUGGGAGGGGGAGGGAGUCUCUGCACGGAGCGGGGACCACCGUUUCAACACCAUCCUAUCCCCAGAGCCUGGCCUGGCCCCAGGGAGGCACUGAGGUCCAUAGGGUGUUGAUGUUUGGCCGAGGAGGAUUUGGGAAGCAAGCAGGAGCGGGGAUACCCCAGCACAACUCUCAGCAUCGCUGCAGGAUUCGGCAUCCCCAAGAAAUGGCUGCAAUGCAGGCGGCUUUCAGAGGGUGCUCGUGCAAAGCUGCUUUUCUUCCCACUGAAAUGGGCACGGAGGGAAUCAGAGGAGCUCAGCCCACAGCUGCCUUUGCCCCCAGGAAGGGAGAUUUAAGGGGAGUUUUGCACAGCCCUCUCUGAGAGUCACCCCUCUGCCCAGACGCAGCCAUGAGAUGUUUUUGUCCAUCCCGACCCUCCCCAGUGAUUUCAACGUGUGCUGCAGCCCAUGGCACCUGGGGGACCACUGCCAGCAUCGUGUCAUCCCCCAGCAUCACACCUACAUCACCCCGGGCAUCGUGCUCUGAAAUGUGGGGUGAUGCGGGAUGACUCCGUGGACACGAUGCACACAGCUGGUCACACGCGCUCCAACCAUCAUCCAUGGGGACAACCCCGGGGACAGGAGCAGGGAUGGGGACAAGGCAGGGAUGGGGACAAGGCAGGGAUGCAGGCAGUGCUGGAGGAGAAGAAGCCCCAGCUCCAUAGCAACAGGUACUCGCCGCGUAAUGGAGUCCUUUCCGCUCGGCCUCCGCAGCCGCCAGCCUUAUUCGCAUGGCCAUAAAUAAUUCAAUUUUCUCAUUCACACACAUGAAUGCUGCGGGCCGGGGCUCCGGGUGCACUCAGCCUCCAUCUGUCUGGGGGGGAAGGGGGAGGCAGGGCUCGAUAAUAGACUCCGGCGUUUGUUUAACAUGGAUGAGUGUGGGCAGAUGGCCUGGGGCUGGGGAGGAGGUGGGGGAUGCUCUGUGGCAUCCCCGAAGUCCCCAGGUUUAGCCCAGUCCCUUGUGCUAGGUGGGGAGGAGAAGAGAGCAGGGACAAGAUCUGGUGCAUCCAAAUCAGCAUCGCUAUUAGAGACAAGCAUGUUUUGGCUGGGAGGGGGCUACGUGCGUUUGGAUUGCCUUUGGAGCAUCCCACCGGGAAAACGUCCUAAGGGUCUGAACUGAAGGAUCUACAUCAGGGUCAGCCCUAUCCCUGGUGGUUUGGGUGCAGGAGCUGCUCCCGACAUGAGAUAUUGUGUCUGGAGAUGGCGUUGGCCAUGCAAUGGGAGAUGUUCUGUGCCACAGCUGCUGUUCCGCACCGUGUCCUGCUCUUUGGGCGGGCAGCCUCAACCCCUGCCUUGGGCACAGAGUAACAGCCCUGGAGAAGGAGAGCAGCCCAGCAAUGAGCGAGCUCCAUACCACCCUCUCCCAGGGAGCGUGGGGAGGCCUGACGAGAGAAAACAAUAUCAUUAGUGGGGUUAAUAGGCUACACACCUGCUGUGGGGGGCUGAGAUGUGAGGGACAGUCAUCACUGCCAUCGCCAUCUCUGCAGGUUUAGCAUCAGCUGGCACAAUGCGUGCCAUAAAAACGUGGGUUAAGAGAUGAGACCAUGCAACAACAUCACUAUCGGCCACCCACACUCUGGGGUCCCUCCGCAGGAGUGGUGUCUGCAGGAGGAGGUGGUGGGAUGGAAGUGGCUGACGCGUGGAUGUGCUGAGUGCUGCCACGUAUUUGGGUACAGCACGUGUGUACGGAUGUGUAUUUGGGUGUGCUCACACACAGACACAAAUUCUCUUUGGGUUGCACUUGGAAUGGACUCUUGCAGAUAGCAGCAAUCCUGGCCAGCCUGCGCUCCACCACUUUCCCUGCCUGUUGUGUUGCGUUUCCCCUUCUUGCUCCGUAUAUCCAUCUAGGCUGACCACGGUUCUUUUCAGCUCAACUCCAGCCUGCUGCACAGUUCAGAUUAUGUCCACACAGCACAUGCCCCAUGCAUGAUCCCGAGUCUCCCUCAGGCACCCCAGUGCCAUAGGGUGAUCAGCCAGGCAGGCCAGUGCCCCCUCCGUGCUGUACGGUACACUGGAAGGGCGGGCAUGGGCUGCUCCAUCGUGCCACCCCCUUCCUCUUAUGCAUGGGGGUUCCCCAGGGGUCUUGCCCUUCCCUGCACGGCGCAGCUGUGCACCCCGCUGUGGGAUGGCCAGAUGUGCAAACACCAUGGUGCCUUGCCUUGGGGUUGCUGCUCAGUUUCUAUCUACCCAACGAUUGGUAUUGUCUCUUCCACUCCAAACCCAGGCCCAGCCCAAGCUCUCACUAUCUUCUACCAUCGCUUUUCUGUAUCCCAGGACGCAGGGAGCCAGCUUCUCUCUGCUGGGCUCGUCCUUGGCUGGACAAUGGAUUUGGCCCUGUUUCUCAAGACCGAACUGCAGAAUCUCGUGGUCUUGGGAUGCCUUGUUCCCAUUACGAGGCUGCUGCCUCUUUGGUGGUGGGGUCCAACGCAGCCCUCGUGGACUUGGGAUGUGGGGACCUGCACAAGCCCUCGAUGGGAGCUGCUGAGGAGCAGGACCAUCUGCAUGGCCCCCACUGGGUUACAUCCUGUGGGAAAGGAUGAACCCUUCCUCUCCCUGGGAGUAGACACGCCGAUCUCCAUGCACACAUCUCCAUUCUGAGCUGCUCCCAGACCCUUUUCCUACCCCAUUCCCUGCCUGCACAUCCAAGUGACACCAAAAUCUGCAGCCAGAAUGAUGGCACUUACCUGCUGCUCACCCUGUUGGGGCUGGGAGGACAGUGGGACAGACACUGGGGGCUGGUCCUUGCCCCCAGGUGAUGGGCAGCCCCUCUCUCCCUGCUCCUUUGCCACACACCGUGGCUCCUGCAGCACCCAGCACCACCCAGCAGCACCCUCUCUGGGUACAUGGCAUCGAAUGGGAUGUACUGGGGAUGAGGAGAUGCCACGCUGGAGACACCCAGUUCCCACACGAGGCUGGCAUACAAGGAAGAUGGGUGCCUAGACGAGGGGAUGGGAGAUGAAUUCAAUGGUGCUCUGGGAAAGUCGGAGUGGAGGUGAUGGGAUCCUGUUGAGCCCAGUGCUGCCCAAAGCAGAAGCAUCCCAGCGCUCGGUGCCAGCAGGGCUCUGCCCCCCACAGUGGGAACCCGUUGUCCCAGGGGUUGCCACGUCUUCUGGAAUCAUCCCCAUUCCCUCCCCAGAGGCAGCACAGCAUCCCCAGGUCUGGAUCGCAGCAGGUGCCCGGCGCCGGGUGUCCCCACAACCUCCCCUUGGUGGCACGGAGCGAUCCCUUUGUCAGAGCCGGGGCUGCAGGGAGUGGAUGCAGAGAGGCAGGAGGGACUGUGGGGCCACGGAGCGCAGCCUUACCUUGGGGGAUCCGCUGCGGUGGUGGGAGGUCGGCACUGGCAUGGGCACGGACCGGCUUGGAAAGCCCCGGUACCGCGGGAGCAGUACGGGAUGCGGGGACAGGUGGGAUGCAGCGGGAUGGGAUGGGUGGAUGGGAUGCGGUAGGAUGGGAUCGAUGAAUGGGUGGAUGGAGGGAUGGGUGGAUGGAGGGAUGGGUGGAUGGGUGGAUGGAUGGGUGGUCAGGGGGCUGCAGGUCCCCCCACUCCCAGGUGCGCAGACAAUAGCCAGGGCUCCUGUUGCAGCUGCAGACUGUCUCUUUAAACCCCUCACCAGCCCACAGGUGGCCCUGUCACCACCGUGGUCAUCCAUGACGUCAUCGGGAGGGAGGGAUGGAGAGGAGGAGGAAGGGGGGGAGAAGCGCGAUCCCCCUCCACAGCAAAAGUCCCCGAGCGCCCAUGGCAACAGAUUGCAAAUGUCACUGCGCAUCAGCGGGAGGGGCCGUCACCCACGGGUGGCACAGCGGGGACGGGGCUGUCACCCACGGGUGGCACAGGGCGCUCCUCGCCCGGGGUCCUGCACGGGCUCCGCGUUGCGUAAAGACGUUGCAGUGGGAGUCCUCAUCUCAGGGCGGACUCCUUGGCUGCAUCCUCACCCCAGCUGCGUCCCCAGCCGAAGCUUGCUGCUCCUUGGGGCACACGGGAUGCUUUGCCCCAGGGAAAGCCCCACAGAGGCCGUUCCUUUCCGAGGGUAAGGAAAACACCACUGGAGGUUUGUCCUGGAAGAACCCCCCGGAUCCAAUCCACAGAGCAACACCUCCAGAAGGGAUUUCCCUGCGGUUCCCAAAGCACCCAGCGCCGCUCCUACCGCAUGUGGGUGCCUUCAGCUGUGCGCAUUUGGAAGGAGCACCUUAGGAGAGGGCACAGCCUCGAGCAGGGCUACCUGCACCAACCUUGUUCUCUGCAAAGCCCGGGGAAGGUUUGUUUUUCUCUCCUCCAUCAGCGCAGCGUGGAUGGAGCCAUGAGAGGGGACAGCGAUGUGAAGGACCCGGAGGGGGUUUUCUUUCCCUGAGAGCCUCUGUGUGAGGGGACGGCCGGGGCUGUGGGGUGAUGCAGGGCAGGAGCAGUGCAUCCUUCCUUUCCUCCUUCAGUGCUCAGCCCCACUCAUCCCACAGCACUUGGUGCACAGCGGCAGAAGACUCCUUGCUUCAGUAAACCACCCAAAACAUCCCAAAUGAGCUCUGCUUAUUGUUUUUUAAGCCCCCAUGCUAGCUAUGGGGAUGGAUGGGAAAUAACCUGCGCGGCACUGGGGCUCAUCCCGAGGGAGCUGUGAUGAGGACAUAGGCA